rnacentral:misc_RNA from 1 species
GUGCUUCGCUGAUGCUUAUUACCUGACAUAUAGGACAAGUCCACUCCUUGGAGUUCACAGAAGUUGGUUUGUCAAUAAGAUCUCCAUCUGAUACUGUUGUGGUUGCCAUUUCUUUAGGUGCAUUCAUUUCUAUAGAAGAAAUGCAAUUGUCACUUUCCAAUUGUUGGUUUUUGGACUUCAACUUCUCAGAAGCAUCUUCAUGUUGACUUCCUUGAAGAUGGGAAAUAAAGAUUGUCUCACUAGGGGUUGUUAUCUGGCAGAUAGGACAGUUCCACUUCUGGAUGCUCUUAGAAGGUGAUUUGUUAGGAAAAUCUCCCACUGCAACUCCUGCAGUUGGCAUUUCUUUAGAUGCAGUUGUCUCCACAGAAGCAGGGGAAGUGUUGCUUUCCAAAAUCUGGUUCUUGGAUUUCAACUUCUUGGAAGCAGCCUCAUGUCGCAUUCCUUGAAGAUGGGAUAUAAAGACUGUCUGACUGGAGGUUUUUACCUGACAUAUAGGACAGUUCCACUCCUCAAUGUUUUCAGAAGGUAGUUUGAUGGGAAGGUCUCUACCUGCUACCACUGUGGCUGCCAUUUCUUUAGGUGCACUUC